CUAGUUGGCGGGGUAACGGCCCACCAAGGCUUAGAUCGGUAGCCGGCCUGAGAGGGCGCACGGCCACACUGGAACUGAAACACGGUCCAGACUCUUACGGGAGGCAGCAGUGGGGAAUUUUGCGCAAUGGGGGAAACCCUGACGCAGCAACGCCGCGUGAGCGAUGAAGCCCUUUGGGGUGUAAAGCUCUUUCGGCAGGGAAGAUUAUGACGGUACCUGCAGAAGCAGCUGCGGCUAACUACGUGCCAGCAGCCGCGGUAAUACGUAGGCAGCGAGCGUUGUUCGGAGUUACUGGGCGUAAAGGGUGUGUAGGCGGUUGUUUAAGUUUGGUGUGAAAUCUCCCGGCUCAACUGGGAGGGUGCGCCGAAUACUGAAUGACUAGAGUGCGGGAGAGGAAAGUGGAAUUCCUGGUGUAGCGGUGAAAUGCGCAGAUAUCAGGAGGAACACCGGUGGCGAAGGCGGUUCUCUGGGCCUGUUCUGACGCUGAGGAGCGAAAGCGUGGGGAGCGAACAGGAUUAGAUACCCUGGUAGUCCACGCCGUAAACGUUGGGCGCUAGGUGUGGGGUCCUUCCACGGGCUCUGUGCCGCAGCUAACGCAUUAAGCGCCCCGCCUGGGGAGUACGGCCGCAAGGCUAAAACUCAAAGGAAUUGACG
rnacentral:rRNA from 1 species